UUUCUCUCCGUUAACACAAGCGUUCUAUCGCCGUGAGUCUUGGGAUCUCAAACCCCGACCAACGCCUCUGUAACGUCUUCUGAUUUUGGCUAGAAGAUACAUUUAUCCAAGCAUUAACAUCGUCCCUUCCACUCCUCCUACUCUUUCACAUUAACUCGGCCUUAUCAUCCGCCAAGCUAACCGUUCCAAGUAUUACUAUACAAAUGUUCCUUCUCUGCAAUGGAUAGACGCACUGCAACGAAAUCCCAAAGGUUGAUUGCUGCUCCAUCACCGCCGAGGUCCGCCUUCAGAAGAUCCCUGAGGAAGCUAGAGAGCUUGAAAAAAAACAACUCAGACAGACUUGGAGAAGGUACCGUGUGGAGUUGACCAUUUCAGAUGAAACCGAAGAGGCUGUCUUCGUAGCUUUUGAUUCCGAGAUGAUCAAGCUGACUAACGUCCGCUCUUCUGAAGUUGGGCAGGUCAUGGUUUGAUUACAACUAAUCCUCCUAUAAGUUAACAAAUUUCAAUCUAUUCUGGUGGUAAUUUUUUGCAAAGCAUUAUUUCCCAUGUUCAGGGUGGAGGUUUUUCUUAGCAGCACGAUAACGAAUUCCCACCUUUAAUCACUGAGAUAAUCGGGAAUGCUUACACUUUUCAGCUGAAGUUGUAUGGGUUUAAUUUUACAUCAAAGCAUGAGACCUUAGCGUCAACAGGCCCCAAAUCCUGAUUUUGGUGUUUAUGUAAAUUUUUCGUAAUUGGAAUAUACACUAAUGCGCUGACUGAUUAAGCGUUUCCUAAUCUCUUUAGCAGGGAGGAGGUGAUGGGCCCAAAGACAAUAUGCAUGGAGUCAGCUCACUUUCCUCAGCUUCUGCAAAUCUAGGUAACAACAAUGCAAAGGAGACACCGAGACUUACAGAGUCUGCACUGGGGAACCUCCCUGAAGUGGAUGGCUUCAUAUCCCAGAAUCCAAAGCUCAAAUUGAGCAGGCUGCUAAGAAGGUCCGUACGGAAUAGAUGAAUAUGGAAGCUUUAUUUUAUCAUGUUCUAUCGUUUUUUUAAUCAAAUAAUGCUUUGCGUUUUUCCAUUUUCAAACUAUUGCAUAUGUUGGUUUAGUUCUUUGCACUACUAAUAUAAGAAUAUUUCGAAGUA